rnacentral:tRNA from 2 species
GCGGGUAUAGUAUAGUGGCUUAUUAUGCUAGCCUUCCAAGCUAGAGACGGGGGUUCGAUUCCCCCUACCCGCUCCA